UUGAAAUAAAGCUGAUCUGACUGGGAGGGUUGAUUGUGUGUCUGAUAUGAGAAGGAUAAAGAGCUGACCUCUGAUCUGUGCAGGUUCAGACUGGUUUGUGCUUUGAGCUGUUUGGUUCCUGCAGAGCUGAAGAAGGACGACGGUGGAGCUCAGGAGAGGAGCAGAAAGCUGUUGGACUGCAACAAGUUGAGUGGCUGCAGGUUUUCACCAACAUGGAAAGGAUCCAUCAGAACCCAGGACCAGAACCAGAAACAGGACCUGGACCUGGACCUGCACCCAGCUGUGUGUCCUUUAAGAGCGAUGACUCAAAGGAAUUUUUUAUUGACUUUAAAGGAGAUGGAGCUCCUGCUGCUCAGAGGUAAUUGAUAUAUAAAUGCUGUAACUGUAUAAAAUGUCAGUGAAUCAGUUUUAUUGUCUUCAUGAAUGAAUCCUCAAACACAUGCUGAGUCUUUGUCACAUCCAUGGAAAUGUUCCUGUCAGAGAGGAAAGAAUGGAUGCUGUGGUUCUGUGGUGAAGCAGCUGCAGGACACCAGCUGAUCCAGCAGGUGGCGUCUUUGUGCUUUGGCUCAAACAGAGUAGACAGGAAGCUGCACUCAGGUUUCAGGUGCUGCUGGAUGGAGGAGGACAAAUACCAAACAGUGAACACUGCUGUGAUGUCCUGGAGAGACAUUUGUCUUCAUGGAGGUUUGUGGAUGCUGGUUAGGGAUUGUUGCAUUGACAAAGUGAAGAAGUUGUGCUGUGGUCAGUGAACUUAAA